rnacentral:rRNA from 1 species
UGACUAAGGAUUCCUCCGCUAUGUCAAUCAACGGAGGGUAAGUCGGAUCCUAAGGACAAUGCGAAAGCAGAGGCCGAUGGUAAUCAGGUUAAGAUUCCUGAACCGAUGCAUAUUACGAAGCGGGGACGGAUUCUAGAGCUUCAUACGAACCGACGGAAAUGUUCGUUGAGAGGAGUCUUCGGACGAAUCGAAUGGGGGGAUAGGGUUCCAAGAAAAGCCGAUAAGUUAUGGAUAUGUAUCGACCGUACCGUAAACCGACACAGGUAGUCGAGGCGAGAAGCCUAAGGUGCUCGAGUGAUUCACGGCUAAGGAACUAGGCAAAUUAACCCUGUAACUUCGGGAUAAAGGGAGCCUCGGCAAUGAGGCCGCAGAGAAUAGGCCCAGGCGACUGUUUAACAAAAACACAUGGCUAUGCGAAGAUUAAUGUCGACGUAUAUGGCCUGACACCUGCCCGGUGCUGGAAGGUUAAGAGGGGGUGUUACCGCAAGGGACGCACUGAAUUGAAGCCCCAGUAAACGGCGGCCGUAACUAUAACGGUCCUAAGGUAGCGAAAUUCCUUGUCGGGUAAGUUCCGACCUGCACGAAUGGUGUAACGAUCUGGGCACUGUCUCAGCCGUGAGCUCGGCGAAAUUGUAGUGACGGUGAAGAUGCCGUCUACCCGCCACGGGACGGAAAGACCCCGUGAACCUUUACUAUAGCUUAGCGUUGCGACUGGAUAUUCGAUGUGUAGGAUAGGUGGGAGACUGUGAAAUGGCGUCGCUAGGCGUUGUGGAGUCAACGUUGAAAUACCACCCUUUGGAUAUUUGGUUUCUAACCUCAAAGAGGGACAUCGCUUGGUGGGUAGUUUGACUGGGGUGGUCGCCUCCAAAAGUGUAACGGAGGCUUCCAAAGGUUCUCUCAGUACGCUUGGUAACCGUGCGUUGAGUGCAAUAGCAUAAGGGAGCUUGACUGCAAGACCAACAAGUCGAGCAGGAUGGAAACAUGGGUAUAGUGAUCCGGUGGUUCUGAAUGGAAGGGCCAUCGCUCAAAGGAUAAAAGGUACUCCGGGGAUAACAGGCUGAUCUCCCCCAAGAGCUCAUAUCGACGGGGAGGUUUGGCACCUCGAUGUCGGCUCGUCACAUCCUGGGGCUGGAGGAGGUCCCAAGGGUUCGGCUGUUCGCCGAUUAAAGUGGCACGCGAGCUGGGUUCAGAACGUCGUGAGACAGUUCGGUCCCUAUCUGUGGUGGGCGUAGGAAGUUUGAGAGGGUCUGAUUUUAGUACGAGAGGACCGAAUUGGACAUACCUCUGGUGUAUCUGUUGUCUUGCCAAGGGCACGGCAGAGUAGCUAAGUAUGGUUAGGAUAAACGCUGAAAGCAUCUAAGUGUGAAACCGGCCUCAAGAUGAGACUUCCAUAGAGGAACGUUAUAGACGAUGACGUA